rnacentral:rRNA from 1 species
UACGUACCGUACGAACGUUAUUCGGAAUUACUGGGCUUAAAGGGUUUGUAGGCGGCUUUGUAAGUCAGGUGUGAAAUCCCUCGGCUCAACCGAGGAAUGGCGCUUGAUACUGCAAGGCUUGAGGGAGACAGGGGUAAGCGGAACUGAUGGCGGAGCGGUGAAAUGCGUUGAUAUCAUCAGGAACACCGGUGGCGAAAGCGGCUUACUGGGUCUCUUCUGACGCUGAGGAACGAAAGCUAGGGGAGCGAACGGG